rnacentral:rRNA from 1 species
CCUACGGGUGGCAGCAGUAGGGAAUAUUGCUCAAUGGGGGAAACCCUGAAGCAGCAACGCCGCGUGGAGGAUGAAGGUUUUCGGAUUGUAAACUCCUGUUGUUAGAGAAGAGAAUGACGGUAAGUAACGAAUAAGCACCGGCUAACGCCGUGCCAGCAGCCGCGGGAAUACGGAGGGUGCAAGCGUUACUCGGAAUGCCGGGGCGUAAAGAGCGCGUAGGCGGGAUAGCAAGUCAGAUGGGAAAUCCUAUGGCUUAACCCUAGAACUGCAUUUGAAACUGUUAUUCUAGAGUAUGGGAGAGGUAGGUGGAAUUCUUGUUGUAGCGGUCAACUCCG